UGCAAGUCGAACGAAGUAGCAAUACUUAGUGGCAGACGGGUGAGUAACAUGUGGGUAUCUUCCCUUUGGUGAGGAAUAACACGAGGAAACUUGUGCUAAUACCUCAUAAGUCUUUACGGAGAAAGCUUUAUGCGCCAAUGGAUGAGCUCGCACUUGAUUAGUUUGUUGGUGGGGUAAUGGCCUACCAAGACUUUGAUCAAUAGCUGAUUUGAGAGGAUGAUCAGCCACAUUGGGACUGAGACACGGCCCAAACUCCUACGGGAGGCAGCAGUAAGGAAUCUUGCACAAUGGAGGAAACUCUGAUGCAGCGAUGCCGCGUGAGUGAAGAAGGCCUUUGGGUUGUAAAGCUCUUUCGCCGGGGAAGAAAAUGACUGUACCCGAAUAAGAAGGUCCGGCUAACUUCGUGCCAGCAGCCGCGGUAAUACGAAGGGACCUAGCGUAGUUCGGAAUUACUGGGCUCAAAGAGUUCGUAGGUGGUUAAAAAAGUUGGUAGUGAAAUCCCAGAGCUUAACUCUGGAACUGCUAUCAAAACUUUUUAGCUAGAGUAUGAUAGAGGAAAGCAGAAUUUCUAGUGUAGAGGUGAAAUUCGUAGAUAUUAGAAAGAAUACCAAUUGCGAAGGCAGCUUUCUGGAUCAUUACUGACACUGAGGAACGAAAGCAUGGGUAGCGAAGAGGAUUAGAUACCCUCGUAGUCCAUGCCGUAAACGAUGUGUGUUAGACGUUGGAAAUUUAUUUUCAGUGUCGCAGCGAAAGCGAUAAACACACCGCCUGGGGAGUACGACCGCAAGGUUAAAACUCAAAUGAAUUGACGGGACCCGCACAAGUAGUGGAGCAUGUGGUUUAAUUCGAAGAUACGCGCAGAUCUUACCAACACUUGACAUGUUCGUCGCGACUUUAAGAGAUUAAAGUCUUCGGUUCG
rnacentral:rRNA from 1 species